GGGCCCGUAGGGUAGCUUGGUAUCCUCCAUGCUUGGGGUGCAUGAAACUCCAGUUCAAAUCUGGGCGGGCCCACCA
rnacentral:tRNA from 1 species